rnacentral:rRNA from 1 species
UACGUAGGGGGCAAGCGUUGUCCGGAAUCAUUGGGCGUAAAGCGCGCGCAGGCGGUCCUUUAAGUCUGAUGUGAAAGCCCACGGCUCAACCGUGGAGGGUCAUUGGAAACUGGGGGACUUGAGUGCAGGAGAGAAGAGUGGAAUUCCACGUGUAGCGGUGAAAUGCGUAGAGAUGUGGAGGAACACCAGUGGCGAAGGCGACUCUUUGGCCUGUAACGUGACGCUGAGGCGCGAAAGCGUGGGGAGCAAACAGG